GAUUAAUGCAAAAAAAGAGUAAAUGCCAAAAAUGGGGGAUGGAAACGCAUUUGCCGAAUUAAUUCUGACGUAGCGAACAUUAAUCUGACCGUAGCUGUUUCCGCUGGAGUUGUCUUUACCAUAUAAGGAGCUCGACGUCGUCGCAAUGUCCUUGUGCAUGCCGUCAUAAAAAGUCUGCAUUCCUUCUUCUAUGCACAGCAUUCGGUUUGGCAAUUACAAGCUGCACGGCAAAUACGUUAAUAACUUGCCCCAUUGUGACUUCAUCGUGUAUCCAUUUUCCACGCGUACAUUGUUUUGUUUACUGUUGGUUGCUAGGUUACCCAAUACCGCCGUCAUUCGCUCAAACAACUUGAUGGAAACGCACCUAUUUCGCGUUUUUUUUUUUUUGCGAAUUUUGAAAAGAUUCGCUUCACGUUUGGAUGUAAACCCAUGAGCAGCACGGAUCACCUGUGAGGAUUUGACAGCCAGGCAAAACUAAAACCUUUCUCCAAGUUUACAGAGUGGCUGUGUUUUCGUGCAGACUAACCACAUCCUACUCAUCCCUUUUUUUUUUACCUGACAUUUACCUCUACGCGGUCUGGGAAUCUGGUCUAAGAGCGUGACACAGAUGCUCACCACAACACAAUACUAAAAAGACUGUUGAGCCAAGCCACGAGCCAGCGAUGCAUUGUUUGAUGUGCACAGUGCGGCCCGUUCACCGUUGGAUCACAACAUCAUGGAAAUGUACAAGGCCCUAUUGCAGGCUUCCAGUAACAUCUGUGGAGCGUUCGAGAUGAAGGCGCAUAGGCUUUCUGCGGUUUGAAGUGUAUGGGGCAAC